ACUUGUUGGAGGGGGUACCCCGGGAACUGGGGAUAAUACCCCAUAGACUAUGGAUGCUGGAAUGCUCUGUAGUUGAAAGGUCCGCCGCCAUAGGAUGGGUCUGCGGCCGAUUAGGUUGUUGUUGGGGUAACGGCCCAACAAGCCUGUAAUCGGUACGGGUUGUGGGAGCAAGAGCCCGGAGAUGGAUUCUGAGACACGAAUCCAGGCCCUACGGGGCGCAGCAGGCGCGAAAACUUUACAAUGCGGGAAACCGUGAUAAGGGAACUCCGAGUGCCCGUAAAAUCGGGCUGUCCAUCUGUUUAAAUAACAGGUGAAGAAAGGGCCGGGCAAGACCGGUGCCAGCCGCCGCGGUAAUACCGGCGGCUCGAGUGGUGGCCACUAUUACUGGGCUUAAAGCGUUCGUAGCUGGUUUGUUAAGUCUCUGGGGAAAUCUGCCGGCUCAACCGGCAGGCGUUCCAGGGAUACUGGCAGACUAGGGACCGGGAGAGGUGAGGGGUACUCCAGGGGUAGGAGUGAAAUCCUGUAAUCCUUGGGGGACCACCUGUGGCGAAGGCGCCUCACCAGAACGGCUCCGACAGUGAGGGACGAAAGCUGGGGGAGCAAACCGGAUUAGAUACCCGGGUAGUCCCAGCCGUAAACGAUGCGCGUUAGGUGUAUCGGUGACCACGAGUCACCGAGGUGCCGAAGAGAAAUCGUGAAACGUGCCGCCUGGGAAGUACGGUCGCAAGGCUGAAACUUAAAGGAAUUGGCGGGGGAGCAC
rnacentral:rRNA from 1 species